rnacentral:lncRNA from 1 species
UCUCAAGGCAUGAUAUCGAAAGAUAAAGAGAUUCCUAAACCAUGCCUCUAUGUUUAUAUUCGACAUCUUCAGCACCCCCGCAGAGUUCACAUCUCGCGGAAGAACUCUCGAAACAGAUCUUGAAUGAAACAUUUCACAAUCGGAGAGGGAUAUGAGACGACAACUCAUCACCUUCCUCCCCAUUAUACACAAACUCAUAAAAAGUGCCAUUCAAUUACCAUAAAAAAAGGGGCCGCGGAGCGGCAGGGAUUCAAAGCCACACACGGCCAGUCCCGAAAUACAAAACAAGGCCAUUCAAGGCCGAAACAUAAAAACAUAAAAAAAAAUUUCUCGCAAGAGAUC